AAAACGGAUUCAUUUAAUUUAUUUUUUAUCGAAAUGUAUUUAUUAUUGUUUAGAUAAUAAUCACAUGACAUUACUUCGAUGACAUUACUUACAUGAUACAAUAACACGCAUACAAACAAUAACAAUAAUAACAACACAAUGAUUGGGGGGAAAUCUGAAGCAGUUCCUGAGAAGAAAGAAGAGAAGAAAAGUUAUUGACAUGUUAAUGUUGUUAGUGUGUUUUUUUGUAGAACAAAAUGUUAGUGUGUAUUUGUCUGGAUCUAAAUAUUAAUGAUCAAUGUGUACAUCUAAAUAUUAAUGUGUCUAUUUGUGUCUAAAUAUUAGUGUGUCUAUGUGUACAUCUAAAUAUUAAUGAUCUAUGUGUACAUCAGUGGCUUAAAGCGUUUGCUUAGUUUCUACGUUCAAAGUCAAAACUGUUUUUCUUAUAUCGGCUGGAAACACCUGCCGAGCCCCCAAAGGUUCCUACCCUAUAUAGGCUGACCCGCCCAUCAAUCAGAUGCUGCCAUACAUCAUAAAUCGGCUCUUACAGGUAGUGUGUCUAUGUGUAUAUCUAAAUAUUAAUGUUUCUAUGCGUACAUCUCAAUAUUAAUGUGUAUAUGUGUACAUCUAAAUAUUAAUGUGUCUAUGUGUACAUCUCAAUAUUAAUGAUCUAUGUGUACAUCUCAAUAUUAAUGUGUAUAUGUGUACAUCUCAAUAUUAAUGAUCUAUGUGUACAUCUCAAUAUUAAUGUGUAUAUGUGUACAUCUCAAUAUUAAUGUGUCUAUGUGUACAUCUCAAUAUUAAUGUGUAUAUGUAUACAUCUCAAUAUUAAUGUGUAUAUGUGUACAUCUCAAUAUUAAUGAUCUAUGUGUACAUCUAAAUAUGAAUGUGUAUAUGUGUACAUCUCAAUAUUAAUGAUCUAUGUGUACAUCUCAAUAUUAAUGUGUCUAUGUGUACAUCUCAAUAUUAAUGAUCUAUGUGUACAUCUCAAUAUUAAUGUGUCUAUGUGUACAUCUCAAUAUUAAUGAUCUAUGUGUACAUCUAAAUAUUAAUGAUCUAUGUGUACAUCUCAAUAUUAAUAAUCUAUGUGUACAUAUAAAUAUUAAUGAUCUUUGUGUAUCUAAAUGUUAAUGUGUGUCUAAAUAUUUAUGAUCUAAGGCCGGCUCCCAGCCGCCGUCCUCCUCUUCUUCAUCAAAUUCGCCUUCCAUUUAACAACAGUCAACCAGUUCGUAUGUAUUUUACCCGGGCAGACAGCUAUGUUCUGAAAGUUUAUACUAACCUUUCAGAGAAAAUGUUUGUGUCCACGAGCUUAUGUUAGCCUCGCAGAAUUAAUUUAUGCUGAAAGUUUAUACUAACCUUUCAGAGAAAAUGUUUGUUUCCACGAGCUUAUGUUAGCCUCGCAGAAUUAAUUU
ensembl:lncRNA